GGGGAAUCUUGGACAAUGGGCGAAAGCCUGAUCCAGCCAUGCCGCGUGAAUGAUGAAGGCCCUAGGGUUGUAAAAUUCUUUCGACGGGGAAGAUAAUGACGGUACCCGUAGAAGAAGCUCCGGCUAACUUCGUGCCAGCAGCCGCGGUAAUACGAAGGGGGCUAGCGUUGUUCGGAAUUACUGGGCGUAAAGCGCACGUAGGCGGAUCGAUAAGUAAGGGGUGAAAUCCCAGAGCUCAACUCUGGAACUGCCUUUUAAACUGUCGAUCUGGAGCAGAGUAGAGGUGAGUGGAAUUCCGAGUGUAGAGGUGAAAUUCGUAGAUAUUCGGAGGAACACCAGUGGCGAAGGCGGCUCACUGGACUCUUGCUGACGCUGAGGUGCGAAAGCGUGGGGAGCAAAC
rnacentral:rRNA from 1 species